CCUACGGGCGGCAGCAGUGAGGAAUAUUGGUCAAUGGACGAGAGUCUGAACCAGCCAAGUAGCGUGAAGGAUGACUGCCCUAUGGGUUGUAAACUUCUUUUAUAAAGGAAUAAAACGAGGCACGUGUGCCUUUUUGCAUGUACUUUAUGAAUAAGGAUCGGCUAACUCCGUGCCAGCAGCCGCGGUAAUACGGAGGAUCCGAGCGUUAUCCGGAUUUAUUGGGUGUAAAGGGAGCGUAGAUGGGUUGUUAAGUCAGUUGUGAAAGUUUGCGGCUCAACCGUAAAAUUGCAAUUGAUACUGGCAGUCUUGAGUACAGUUGAGGUAGGCGGAAUUCGUGGUGUAGCGGUGAAAUGCUUAGAUAUCACGAAGAACCCCGAUUGCGAAGGCAGCUUACUAAACUGUGACUGACAUUGAUGCUCGAAAGUGUGGGUAGCAAACAGGAUUAGAUACCCUUGUAGUC
rnacentral:rRNA from 1 species